rnacentral:rRNA from 1 species
GACGUAGGGUGCAAGCGUUGUCCGGAUUUACUGGGUGUAAAGAGCGCGUAGGCGGUCUGUUAAGUGUAGAGUGAAAUCUCCAGGGCUCAACCCGGAAACUGCUCUGCAUACUGGCAGACUGGAGGGUCGGAGAGGUCUGUGGAAUUCCUGGUGUAGCGGUGAAAUGCGUUGAUAUCAGGAGGAACACCCAUGGCGAAGGCAGCAGACUGGCCGACUCCUGACGCUGAGGCGCGAAAGCGUGGGGAUCAAACAGG